rnacentral:piRNA from 1 species
UAUAAUGUUUGCAAAAAUGAUUAAGGGUUC